rnacentral:tRNA from 1 species
GCGGACGUGGUGGAACUGGUAGACACGCAGGCUUGAGGGGCCUGUGGCCGCAAGGCUAUGAGGGUUCAAUUCCCUCCGUCCGCA